CUGCUGUGAUGACGUCGAUGGUGGCUGAUCUGGUAUGGCGUCCCUGCGGGGACACUCUGACCAGCGAAUGAUCUCGCUGUAAUCUUCUCUCUGAGCAG